AGCGAACGCUGGCGGCAGGCCUAACACAUGCAAGUCGAACGAAGUCUUCGGACUUAGUGGCGGACGGGUGAGUAACACGUGGGAACGUGCCUUUAGGUUCGGAAUAACUCAGGGAAACUUGUGCUAAUACCGAAUGUGCCCUUCGGGGGAAAGAUUUAUCGCCUUUAGAGCGGCCCGCGUCUGAUUAGCUAGUUGGUGAGGUAAAGGCUCACCAAGGCGACGAUCAGUAGCUGGUCUGAGAGGAUGAUCAGCCACAUUGGGACUGAGACACGGCCCAAACUCCUACGGGAGGCAGCAGUGGGGAAUCUUGCGCAAUGGGCGAAAGCCUGACGCAGCCAUGCCGCGUGAAUGAUGAAGGUCUUAGGAUUGUAAAAUUCUUUCACCGGGGACGAUAAUGACGGUACCCGGAGAAGAAGCCCCGGCUAACUUCGUGCCAGCAGCCGCGGUAAGAC
rnacentral:rRNA from 1 species